CUUUUAUUGGAUAUUGACCGCCACAUAUCGCGCGUUUAUUGAAUGUUAAUUUCGUGCACCUAAUUAACGUCAACCUUCAAUAAAAUCGCGACACGUGACGGUCAACGUUC
rfam:Glycine soja cultivar W05 scaffold2131_5, whole genome shotgun sequence.